rnacentral:rRNA from 1 species
UACGUAGGGUGCAAGCGUCGUCCGGAAUUAUUGGGCGUAAAGAGCUCGUAGGCGGUUUGUUGCGUCGGCUGUGAAAUCCCGAGGCUCAACCUCGGGUCUGCAGUCGAUACGAGCAAACUAGAGUGUUGCAGGGGAGACUGGAAUUCCUGGUGUAGCGGUGAAAUGCGCAGAUAUCAGGAGGAACACCGGUGGCGAAGGCGGUUCUCUGGGCAUGUCCUGACGCUGAUGCGCGAAAGCCAGGGGAGCAAACGGG